AGUCGAACGGCAGCACGGAGCUUGCUCUGGUGGCGAGUGGCGAACGGGUGAGUAAUAUAUCGGAACGUACCCUAGAGUGGGGGAUAACGUAGCGAAAGUUACGCUAAUACCGCAUACGAUCUAAGGAUGAAAGUGGGGGAUCGCAAGACCUCAUGCUCGUGGAGCGGCCGAUAUCUGAUUAGCUAGUUGGUAGGGUAAAAGCCUACCAAGGCAUCGAUCAGUAGCUGGUCUGAGAGGACGACCAGCCACACUGGAACUGAGACACGGUCCAGACUCCUACGGGAGGCAGCAGUGGGGAAUUUUGGACAAUGGGCGAAAGCCUGAUCCAGCAAUGCCGCGUGAGUGAAGAAGGCCUUCGGGUUGUAAAGCUCUUUUGUCAGGGAAGAAACGGUGAGAGCUAAUAUCUCUUGCUAAUGACGGUACCUGAAGAAUAAGCACCGGCUAACUACGUGCCAGCAGCCGCGGUAAUACGUAGGGUGCAAGCGUUAAUCGGAAUUACUGGGCGUAAAGCGUGCGCAGGCGGUUUUGUAAGUCUGAUGUGAAAUCCCCGGGCUCAACCUGGGAAUUGCAUUGGAGACUGCAAGGCUAGAAUCUGGCAGAGGGGGGUAGAAUUCCACGUGUAGCAGUGAAAUGCGUAGAUAUGUGGAGGAACACCGAUGGCGAAGGCAGCCCCCUGGGUCAAGAUUGACGCUCAUGCACGAAAGCGUGGGGAGCAAACAGGAUUAGAUACCCUGGUAGUCCACGCCCUAAACGAUGUCUACUAGUUGUCGGGUCUUAAUUGACUUGGUAACGCAGCUAACGCGUGAAGUAGACCGCCUGGGGAGUACGGUCGCAAGAUUAAAACUCAAAGGAAUUGACGGGGACCCGCACAAGCGGUGGAUGAUGUGGAUUAAUUCGAUGCAACGCGAAAAACCUUACCUACCCUUGACAUGGCUGGAAUCCUCGAGAGAUUGAGGAGUGCUCGAAAGAGAACCAGUACACAGGUGCUGCAUGGCUGUCGUCAGCUCGUGUCGUGAGAUGUUGGGUUAAGUCCCGCAACGAGCGCAACCCUUGUCAUUAGUUGCUACGAAAGGGCACUCUAAUGAGACUGCCGGUGACAAACCGGAGGAAGGUGGGGAUGACGUCAAGUCCUCAUGGCCCUUAUGGGUAGGGCUUCACACGUCAUACAAUGGUACAUACAGAGCGCCGCCAACCCGCGAGGGGGAGCUAAUCGCAGAAAGUGUAUCGUAGUCCGGAUUGUAGUCUGCAACUCGACUGCAUGAAGU
rnacentral:rRNA from 1 species